AUUCAAUUAGUUUAAUAAAAAU
rnacentral:tRNA from 1 species